UCUGCCUUUCUCUGCCUAUUUCUCUUCAUCUUAUUCCUUUACUCCCUCACUCACUGACACAUUCUUUUAUGCUCUGUUGUAAGGUAGAAACUGAGAGUUUGCAUGAUGGCCUUUUCUCAGACUCUGAAUCUGAUGUAUACAGAUGAACUCAGGAACCUGCUAGAGUUGCCAGGGAACUUGUGCUUGAACUGAAGACCAAAAACACAAAGAAAAUCAGUCACAGCAAGCCAGUCAAACCAGUCCUGAUGAAUGAGGAAUGAACAUGGCCUUCUUGUGCACAAACAGAAAAGACAGAGAGCUGAAAAGUUGCACAUUUCCAUUGCUCCUAGAAUGAGCAAAUCAGCUGUGCAUCAUCUCUGGGAUUUGGGCAGAAAAUGACUGAAUAUGGUGAGUACUGACACCUGCACCUGUAUUCACCAACACCAUUUCUC